UUUAGAGGAAGUAAAAGUCGUAACAAGGUUUUCCGUAGGUGAACCUGCGGAAGGAUCAUUACAGUAUGAUUUGGGGGGGGUUGGAUGCUGGCCCGCGAGGGCAUGUGCGCGCCCUUCCCGUCUUCCAAUCCCACAACACACACCUGUGCACCUAUGGCGAGCGCCUCCCGUCUGGAGCCGUCCGGCGCAACCUUCUUUCCGAAGGGGGGGUCGGACCGGGGCGUUCCCUCUCUUUUUUAAUACACCUCAGCCUGUUCAAACGCAUGUCUUUUGAGCCCCACGGGGUGGAAAAUUGUAAUACAACUUUCAACAACGGAUCUCUUGGCUUUCGCAUCGAUGAAGGACGCCGCGAAAGUGCGAAACGUAAUGUGAAUUGCAGAAUUCAGUGAAUCAUCGAAUCUUUGAACGCAUCUUGCGCUCCUUGGUAUUCCGAGGAGCAUGCCUGUUUGAGUGUCGUGAAAAACCCCUCGACCCUUGCUUCUUUGUUGGAGGGAGGGUUGGAUUUGGACGCUUGUGGCGGUUUCCCCCCGCCGCUCGUCUCUAAAUGCAUCAGCUGGCCCCUUGGAGUUUGGUUUGACGACGGUGUGAUAAUAUACGCUUCGUUGACUGUGGCGCCGUCCUAGGCCGACUCUGAACCGGGGUCGCCCAUAGCCCGUCUUCGGACGAUUUCAUGUCAUCUGACCUCAAAUCAGGUAGGACUACCCGCCGAACUUAAGCAUAUC
rnacentral:rRNA from 1 species